rnacentral:lncRNA from 1 species
CUAAUUCGUUUACUUUUACUCAGUCAUUAGACUGAGGUUUGAAUGAUUUUAAGUGGUUAGAAAAUCUGUAGUAGACAAAGAAAAGUUACCAUUUACUUUCUUUAAGGCAGUUUCUAAAAUAUUUAGAAUUCUAGAAUAUUUUUAACAAUGGUGGCAGCUCUGAAGCAAAUAUCUAACAUCCAUCAUCAAGAACCUUGGAAAGACUGACUCUUCCUUGGAUGUUUAAAUUCUUCUAUGUUACUUAAAAAUAGCAAUUAUCUUAUAGCAUAUUCUUACCUGGUGAAAUAAACAGAAAGGAUCAAGUAAGCAGUAGAUUUGAAAAUCUAAAUUCAGAGAUAUAUAUAAAGAUUAUCUUGAAUUGUAAAUGUUGUUACACCAAAGGGUUCAAAAUACCUAGAAAGUCUUAAUUUUCCAAGUAGAAUUUUUCCCUGAGUAAUUAAACUGUAGUCCUCAACUUUAGAAAUUUUCCAUUAUCUGAAUAGCUCUACAUCCUCAAAAAGAUCAGUGCAGAGUGUAAUAGAAUUGCAUAAUUCACAAUAUGAAAUGGGAUAAUUUGAAUUGGAGCUGAGUUGAAGCAUAAUAUUA